AACUUUUAGCAACGGAUCACUUGGCUCUCGCAUCGAUGAAGAACGCAGCGAAAUGCGAUAAGUAAUGUGAAUUGCAGAAUUCAGGGAAUCAUCGAAUCUUUGAACGCACCUUGCGCUCCUUGGUAUUCCGAGGAGCAUGCCUGUUUGAGUGUCAUUAAAUUCUCAACCUUAUCAGUUUAUUUCUGAUAGUGGCUUGGAUGUGGGGGUUUUCUUGCUGGCUGAGGUCAGCUCCCCUUAAAUGCAUUAGCUGGUGCCCCGUGUGGACUGUCUAUUGGUGUGAUAAUUAUCUACGCCAUGGAUGUCUGCAAUCAUAAGGGUUUAGCACUGCUUCUAACCGUCUGUUAAUUCGGACAAUACAUGACAAUUUGACCUCAAAUCAGGUAGGACUACCCGCUGAACUUAAGCAUAUCAAUAAGCGGAGGCU
rnacentral:misc_RNA from 1 species